rnacentral:rRNA from 1 species
GACGAACGCUGGCGGCGUGCCUAAUACAUGCAAGUCGAGCGGACGGAUGGGAGCUUGCUCCCAGACCGUCAGCGGCGGACGGGGGAGUAACACGUGGGCAACCUGCCUGUAAGACUGGGAUAACUCCGGGAAACCGGGGCUAAUUCCGGAUAACUCUUUCCCUCACCUGAGGGAAAGCGGAAAGAUGGCAUCUCGCUAUCACUUACAGAUGGGCCCGCGGCGCAUUAGCUAGUUGGUAAGGUAACGGCUCACCAAGGCGACGUUGCGUAGCCGACCUGAGAGGGUGAUCGGCCACACUGGAACUGAGACACGGCCCAGACUCCUACGGGAGGCAGCAGUAGGGAAUCUUCCGCAAUGGGCGAAAGUCUGACGGAGCAACGCCGCGUGAGUGAUGAAGGUUUUCGGAUCGUAAAACUCUGUUAUCAGGGAAGAACAAGUACCGAAGUAACUGCGGAUAUCUUGACGGUACCUGACCAGAAAGCCACGGCUAACUACGUG